UACGUAAGUGGCAAGCGUUAUCCGGAAUUAUUGGGCGUAAAGCGCGCGCAGGUGGUUUCUUAAGUCUGAUGUGAAAGCCCACGGCUCAACCGUGGAGGGUCAUUGGAAACUGGGAGACUUGAGUGCAGAAGAGGAAAGUGGAAUUCCAUGUGUAGCGGUGAAAUGCGCAGAGAUAUGGAGGAACACCAGUGGCGAAGGCGACUUUCUGGUCUGUAACUGACACUGAGGCGCGAAAGCGUGGGGAGCAAACAGG
rnacentral:rRNA from 1 species